AGACAGUGCGGUAAAGCCAAGGGAGAUUAUCCAGACCCCCAGGAGCGAACAGCAAGCAGCAACCGAAGGCGCAAGUGCCAGGAUUACAGCCUAGGCUGCUCCAACUAUGAGCCCUUCCUCGGACCCUGGGACUCGGCUACUUGGGGUUUGGGGGUCUUCCACACCACAGAGGCACAAAGCUGACUUUAAUCACUUUUUUUCCUUUAAACUUGAUUCUGCCGCAGUGGAGCCAGCACAGCGGAUGUUUUCACACCCAGCAAGACAAAGGCCGUCGUCUCCGCCAUGACACUGUUCCGUUCCAAGCAGAGGCCGGGAUUCUGGACUCCUCGAAAAAUCAAAAAGAAACAAGGAAAACAAACAACAAAUACAGCAACAAACAGAAAAAACUGAAAACCACCAAAAUCGUUUGCCCGUUUGCCCGUGCCAGGGGUGAUCUGGGCAUCUGUUGCAGCAGAAGGCGCUUGUGUGGGGCUAAUUUUUCUUUUGGUGGGGGGGACAAGCUGUUGGCUUGUUUGCUAUUUCAACUUCGUUUAUAAUUAACUUAAAAAAAACCCCACCAUUCAGCCUAGUCAACAACAAACAAAGAAAAAGCAGACAUCGGAAGAGAAAUGCCAUAGGAAGCGGCAUGAAUACAUGCCACAGCCGGUGCCACUUGCCACUCGGAAAACCUCAGGGAAAGAUGCCAAUUCUACAGCUGCGAAGAAGGCAGAGAAAGGAGGAUAAAGGUCUACAACUAGAAAUCAUAAGGAAAGAAUACUGCUUGUAUAAUCCUGGAUUGCAAUUGCACACAGCCUCUGCUGGGAGAAGAGAGGGAAUAUUUAAAUGGAGAUAUAGAUGGGUAUAAAUUAAAAGAUAGGCACCUAUCGAUUGCGUAUAAACACAUGUGUAAGGUUGUAUGUGUAUAUAAAUAUGCAUAUUUUCAGACAAACGUUUAGAUAUGUAUAUAUUUUGUGCUACAGGUAUGGGUAUGUAUAUAGGUGUAUAUGUUUAUGCAUAUACACACAUAUGUAGGAUGUAUGCAUGUGUGAGAAAAAGGAGGGAGAGAGAGGAGAGAGAAGGAAAUAUGUGUAUGUGCAUGUAUGUGUAUGCAUACAUCCCACUUUUUGACCCAGGUAUACACAGAAGACAAAAUAAAAAUCAUACUCCAGCAGCAAGCAGGCAGCCAGAGAUUUAUCUACAUUCACUGCUAUCACCAGGGAGAUGAAUGGGGCCGAUCUGAAGCCCUUUUACAAGAUCCACUAUGGGAGUGAAGGAGGAGGAGGGAUGCCACACAGACAUGCACAAACUUGAAGGCAGAGCGAUUUGGAAGGGGCUACUGAGGAAACACUGGUGGCAUAACGCAGGGGAGAAGAAGGGGAAAGAGGCUUGUCUCUCUCUCUCUAUGUUUUAGGUGGUUGUUUUUAAAAAAUCUGCAAAAGGGUUUCAGGGAACGGCUGGUACUUACGUUGUCUGCGUUGCUGUGGAUCCUGAAAGGUGUUCUGUUGGCACCGGGCGCUGAGCCAGGGGCAGGCGCUGGAAACAAAAGGGAGAGACAAAAAAAUAAAGUGAUUCAAUGGGAAUAUUAAUUGCUGCUCUUGUGGAUUUUACAAAACACAUAAACUGUUUUCUUUUUCUUUCUUAAAAAAAAAUGUGGAUUGGCGCGUGUCCCUUUUGCAUGGAAUAUACAAGUAGUAUGGGAUUUACAGCCCAGUUACGGGACUCAGGAUUAGCUGCGCUGGCAUCUUUUGGGCAUAUUCUUCCUUUUAAUGAAUGAGCUUUCGCUGUUAAUGAGGAAUAAUCGUUUGGCUAAUGAGCUUUGAAACAUUAAGAGAAAAGAGGUUUUUUCCGUUAAUCGCUCUGGUGCGACUGCAUGGAUGGAUUACAAAAGACAGCAAUAGGAACGCAGUACAAAGGGGGGGACCUCUCCUGCAGUGGGAGAAGCACCGAGAUGGGUGAUGUGUCCCUGCGUCUUUCCUUCCUUCUCUCUUUCGCUCUCUCUGCCAACUGCUAUGGGUUUCCAUAACUCUGCAAUCAAAGUGGAUGGUCGGGAAGGAUUAUUACACAGAGUGAAGCCUCCGCUGUUAAUGUCUCCAGUGUUUAAUCAUCAUACAGUAGAAUGGUUUUAUGCAUAUUUCAUUUGCAUAUCAUUAAACUGUGUUAGUGAGGGGCAUUCAGAACCAGGAGAAGUACAAAGUUGGGGAGAGAGGGAAGAAAAAAAGGUCCCUAUGAUGCUUAUCUUCAAACGGGGACUUGUUCCAUGAUCUGUCUUCUACUUUUGCUAAAAUCAUUAUGACUUGGAAACCUUUGAAGUUGGAUACAACCUUGGAUUCUUCUAAUUCCUGCAGAGCAGUGUAUUUUACAAAACAGCAGAAAUGUUCCUGCACUAGACAAUUAAAGGAAUAUAAACUCCAGUGGGCUGAAACUAGUAGCUCUUUGGGGAAUGCAGUAGCAGAGGCUUCUACAAAUACCAACACUUAAAAAUAUAUAAUAAACAGCAUCAUAUUAGAAACAAAGAAAACGAAGACAAGAAAUAUUAACACGUGGAUUAUAUUUGUUUCUUUUGGGGGGUAAUGAACUAAAGAGAAUGAAGAAGCCAUCGGUAAUUUAUCCCUUCAUUAAUGAACAGUCACCUUUUUGUAUGUGUUUGUUUUUGUCCUUUCUUUUUGAAGAGGGAUGUUGUUACUUUUGAAGCAAUUAGUCAAUUAUUUUGUAGCUCUGAUCUUUUCCCCCUGCACCCGACAGGACAGAAAGGUGGUGGUUAGGGAAUAUGUGAGUACUUGGGGAGGGGGGGACUUGGUGGGGAGAGAAAGAAUACAGUGAGUUCUUUGUAGAUCUUAUACAUGCACAACAUAUUAAUUGGGGGCUUUUAAAGCUCCCUCAAUGGGCUAUUUCAUUCCUGGUAAAACAGCAGCUGGUUAGCCACUACUGGUGACUCUUCAAAUAUUACUUCAUUUUUAUUCUGUCGCCGUUGUUGUUGUCUUGCUUUGUUUUUCCUCAGUUAAGAAUGAAAAUGUAGUAUCACCCCCUCUUUAGUGAGUCUCUUCUCCAUCUUCUUCACUCCAAUUUCCAAACUGUAAAACAAUGUUGGCUUAAUACUGAGUCCUGGUGCACAGUCUAACUGGCACAACUUGAUUUGGAAAUGAGAUGCUGCUUUAUAUUUAAAUUACCCCGGCUCCCCCCUUAUCCUCCAAAGCUUUGUCUCUGUUAUGAAUAUGCAGAUGAGGCCUGAUGUGAUUACACUGUACAAUUACUCCUAUCCAUGGUGGUGUCAGGGGCUGCUAGGGAGACAGAGAGUCAGACAGCCUCCAAGCCAAUACAGAGUUUUGUUUUCGGUAUUUUUCCUAUCUCCUUGGCACUGCGGCACAUGCAGAUGUCGCUGUUGUUCUUUAUAAAGCCCUAAUGUAUGCAAAAGCAUAACGAUUUGGUUUGGACGCAAAGCAUCAACGAAAUAUUAUGGAUGUCUUCAAGAAAGGGGGAGAGAAAAUCCUGACUGAAGGAAUGUCCACAUAAAUUAUUUUUAUUUAAAUGAAUUCAAAGGAUGGGAUGAGGGCAAGUCAGACGGAGUCGCGUGGAAAACAUGAAUAAUAUUAAUAUGCAUAAAGAAUUCUCACCAACGAGGAGAAGCUCCUCACUACAGCUCUUGGGACAAACAGGUUCAUUAGGAAACAGCUCAGAGCGACUACAGCAUUUUGCUAUUUCAAUUUUUUCCCUUAUUUUAAAUGAAGAGUCAGACAGAUGUGUUUUCUUUGCAUGGCAGCAUUGAGAUGGAUCCAAUCUGCGAAAUUUGCUGCCCAAAUAGCAUUUCUAAUGGAAACUGGAACUAAACAAGGGCACGGAUAUGGGAGGGAGGGGAGAAGAGAGAAUACACGAAGAAGAGUAUAUUCAGAGCCACUGCAUGGCAUUUUGAGUACAGGAGGUUUUCAGGAACGAUCUUUGCUUCAUUAGUCUCCCCUGUGGGCUCCUGAUGUAGGGAGCUAUCAGGGUAUACCAAGAUGAGCACUGAGACAGGCCUUUCUAGGUCUGAGGCUGAGGAAAGCAGCGGCAACUUGGUGCCUGUCCCCCAGAGCUGUCUACAGUUCAGAAGCCAAAAGCACAGCUACUUCUAAUUUGGGGAUGCAGUAGAGUGCCUACUGAUCCAGGUGGACAAAACAAAUCUUUUUUGGAAACCAACGAAACAAAAAUAAUCUGGAGCUGUCUUGGUUGAAGCAGCGUGCGGGAUUCAGACACCUCCCACUCAGACCCCUGCCCUUCCUUCAACAUUGGCAUCUAAAGAAUCUCUCCAGCGUUUGGAGGAAAUCAAGUUGGAAGUUAAGCAAGAAGCAACACAAAAAACUGAGUAACUACAAAGAAGUAAAAAGUAAAAACUCUGCAAGUUGAAUUGUUAGCUGGCAGGCUACCAUGUGAUAUUGGCUCAGAAUUGUCUUGUGUUAGUAAAGAUACAAACAUUUGAAUUCUAUUUAUGAACUUUGAAUUCUGCUUCUGUAAUUAGACUUUUUUUUUUUUUUUUGGACAGAGUCUCACUCUGUCGCUUAGGCUGGACUGCAGCGGAAUGAUCUCAGCUCACUGCAAACUCCGUCUCCCGGGUUCAAAUGAUUCUCCUGCCUCAGCCUCCCCAGUAGCUGUAGCUGGGAUUACAGGUGUGGAUCACCACGCGCAGCUGAAUUUUUUUUUGUAUUUUCAGUACAGACGGGGUUUCACCAUGUUGGCCAGGCUGGUCUCAAACUUCUGACCUCAAAUCAUCCACUUGCCUUCGCUUCCCAAUGUGCUGGGAUUACAGGCAUGAGCCAGUGUGCCCAGCCUGCAUGUUUUUUGUUUGUUUGUUUGUUUGUUUGUUUUUUGAGAUGGAGUAUUGCUCUGUUGCUCAGGCUGGAGCGCGCGAUCUCAGCUCACCGCAACCUCCGCCUUCCAGAUUCAAGCAAUUCUCCUGCCUCAGCUUCCCAAGUAGCUGGGACUGUUACAGGUGCAUGCUGCCACGCCCAGCUAAUUUUUUUGUAUUUUAGUAGAGAAGGGGUUUCACCAUGUUGCCCAGGCUGGUCGGGAACUCCUGAGCUCAGGCAAUCCGCCUGCCUCGGCCUCCGAAAGUGCUGGGAUUACAGGUGUGAGUCACUGCGCCACCGCAUGUUUUUUUUUUUUUUUUUUUUAAAGAGAAUUAUUCUAAAUUCAAGAUCUACCUCUAAUUUAUGUGGUCUUUUUUUAUUAUGUACUUGGAUUAGGAAUUUUUGUAUUUUUGUUUGUACAACAAAAAAUAUGUAAACAUCCCCAAAUAAAAAAAUAGGUGCCCUAGAUCUGUGACACUGGAAGUGCUGUUUUCCUGGCUCAAUAUCCCUUAUUUGGCUAAGAAAAAAAGGGCAGUUUCCAACUCAUUUGUACUUACAUAGCCACAGACUCUUCUACUUGUAUGGCUUAUUAACAUCAAAAAUUUAUAUUCUAUUAUUAUAUGUGAUAUAUUACACUAUACUACAUUAUAAUUAUCCCCAAAACAAAACUGAUCAUUUAUUUCUCUCAAACAUAUUUUUAAUAUAUUUAAGGGUAAAGUAGAAUAAAACUGUGGUUUUCAGAAUUAUUUUUUCAGAGGCAGACAAAAUAAAUCUUUUUUAGAAAUCCAAAAAAGCAAAACUUUCCCAACUUCCCUAUUUCAACUUAACUUUGAAUCCCCAGGCUGAUAUCUCUUUAAACUCAAAUUAGUAGCCUCUCUUUAUAGUCGUAGCUGAUAAUGAAGGCAUAAUCUUUCCCCUUUAGACAUGAAUUCUGGAGCUCCUCCUCCUCCCUGCUAGCUCUUUCCACAGCUACCAACUUUUCUUGAGUCAAGUCUAUUUCUCACACUUUUUCUAUGUACUGCUAUUAGAAUAGUCCUCAAGUGCUCUAUGAUGUUAUUUCCUUACUCAAAAACUUAGAAUUGUUCUCUAUAGUUCAACUUCCUCUCCAUCUCUGUGUGAUGGUUAAUUUUGCGUCAACCUGAUUGGGCCACAGGGUGCCCAGAUACUUGGUCAAACAUUAUUCUGUUUUUGUGAAGGUGUUUUUUGGAUGAGAUUAACAUUUAAAUUGGUAGACUAGACAAAGCAGAUAAUCUAGGAUUGGCAUCCAAUCAUUUCAAGGCCUGAAUAGAACAAAAGGCUGAUCUUCCUCAGAAUAAGUGAAAAUUAUCCUGCCUGAUGGGCCUCAAACUAUACCAUUUGCUCUUCCUGGUUCUAUAGCAGCUUCCAGCCUUUGGACUUGAAAGCGGAUACAAGCUCUACAGAUUUUGGACUAGCCAGUGUCCAUAAUCCCAUGAUAGGUAUCUCCUAUUAGUUCUGUUUUUCUGAAGAUCACUGACUAAUAUACUGUUUACCCAACUCUGUAGUACCAUUUCAUAAGAUUUUUUUUUUUUUUUUUGACAGUGUCUUGCUCUAUCACCCAGGCUGGAGUGGAAUGGUGCAAACAAAGUUCACUGCACCCUCAACCUCCUGGGCUCAAGUGAUCCUCCUACCUCAGCCUCCUGAGUAGCUGGAACCACAAGUAUGCGCCACCAUGCCUUGCUAGUUUUUUAAAUGUUUGUAGAGAAAAAGUCUAACCAUGUUGCCCAGGCUCCCAGAUCGUUUAUUAGACCUCAAAAUAUUCUCUACUACAAUGAAAUAAAUCCAUUUGUCAACUUCUACCCAA